UGGUAAUAUACACAUUGAAGAGCCUGAAGGGGACAGGAAAACUACAAAACAACAACUAAAAAACCACUACUGUUCCUUUGCACUUAAACUACAAACUAAAAGAACUCUCUGGGCACAGGGGAAAUGGCCAGGAGUGUAUCAGGAAGGAAGACGAGGGGACAAAUGGAGGAUUUCAAAACCGUGAACAAUCGAAAGAGAUCACUGAAGGGGAUUCAGCUGGGCUGAAACCAGACUUGACUGCCACAUGCUUGUGCAAUUAGAGGAGCAGCUAUCCCUUCUCCUGGUUCAUCAAAGACUACCUGUCUAAGAGUAAAAUACACCAGUAAAUUAAGUUAGACAACAGUUUAAACAUAACCCUUACUAACGUCACAACUGAUUUAUUAAGUUAAAAUGUCUUACACCAACUCAAACUGAAAUCACGAUAGGCUAUGGCUACACACUAUGGUGUUUAAGGCCUGGAUGCCAGAGGCACAUUUUCUUGUCGAGAAGGCCCUUACCUCCCGGGAUUCCCUGUGAAAAUCCUACACCCACUGCAGGCUCCCUGUCAAAGUGCUCUGGACUGCACUCAUCCCCCUCCCACCCCCGGUUUCUCCUGCCACACCAGUGCUACACUGUUAGCUCAAGGAAGAUAGAACCUUCAGCAAAUGGGCCUGAACGUGUCCUGUGCCCAGUAAAAUCUCAAAAUGGAAUCGGAGAACAAUCACAGAUAACUGCACAUAGUUAUACAGCUGAAGACUCUGCCUGAAAACCGAGUUCAGCUUGCAGCAGAGCGAAAGUGAGAAGUGAAGUUGCUGCAGGCACAUGGCUCUCCCUUCCCAGGACCACGGUCUCUCCAUCAGGGUAUGUUCUCUCAAUUAAUCCGUACUUCUUUCCUCUAAUUAACAUAGCUCUUGCUGUCCUAGCUCCACAGGGCCUCAUUAGCAGUGAGGUGACACUGAUGCUAAUGUCUUCCUGAAAAACAAGAGAUGAGGAUUGCCCAUUUCCUUACAUAUUAAAACUGUGUUCUGUGAGACCUUGUCAGAAAUGCUUGGCAAGAGAAAUGUUAGUUUAUCUCCCCUCUUCUGGAUAUAAUCAAGCUAAAUUUUUUUAAAAAUUCUUUUUCAUAUGUUUUGUGUUGCUCAGUGAUGACAAGCCUAAACUUUGUUUUAGAGAACGAUUUCUUAUUUACAAUCGUAUAUGCCUAGUUGCAAAUAUACAAAAAAAACAUUUUUUCUGACUUGUCACAAAACCAAUGGGUUGGUUGUUUAAAGCAUUAAAACAGGAGUUCCUUUGUAUAGUAUAAUGUAAAUUUGAAGGGAUAGGCUGCUGAACAUUCUCAAACAAAAGUUCAUCCUCAGACUCAGAACCAAGAAAUUUCACUUAACCAAGUAAGUAACUGAGUCACAAUAAUGCCUUGUAUCUACAUACUAUGUUCUUAAGAUGCUUAAUAUGCCUUAGCAAUAUGUUUUAUCACCUGACAGAUAGUCAUGAUCAGGAUAUCAUUUAUAUCAAAUGAUGGAGAAACGGCCACUGAGCAUGUAGCAUGUAGACACUGUACUUCAUACUCUAGUCUCAAUAUCUCCUUUAGUCUGCACAGGUAUUACCACUUCCACUCUGCAGGUUAGGAAACUGUGGCUCUUGAAGGACACGUGACUUUCUAUGACCCGAGAGCUAGUAAGCGGCAGAGCCAACUCAAAAAUCCUCACGUUUUCCAAACCACACUGGUUAGAAAGACAGCAGAUCUAUUCCACACAGAUGUGUAGAAAUCCAGCAUUUCAGGAAAAACAUCUACUAAAUCAUAUGAGUCCUCAGAACAAAGCCAAAAAAUACAAAGUUACUACCACUCUAUAAUCAGAUACCAGUUAGAAAUAAUGGGAUAAGGAUAAAUUCCAAAUUAGAGCAAGGAAAACUUCAUCAGAAAGGAAAAAUUCAUCUGCACCAUUAAACCAUCUUUUGGGUUAUUUCUACCAUGCUAAGACAUUCUGCUAAUCACACAGGCUAUUUUUAAAGGCUUAAUAAAUUGGGGGUGGUAUGUUUCUGUUUGCUUUUUGGGGAACGUGCUCUCUCUUAACUCCAACGCUACUGUUCUGAAGGGAAAUGUCAGUCAUGGGAGUCCUCCUCUCUGACUGCAGGCUUCGGGGCGUGAACACUGAGCAAACCAGGGCACCCCAUGCCUCUGACCACAGUGGCUGAUCCAGAGACGGACAUGACUCAUCUGGAAUUCUUCAUUGGGAUUUUUCUAAAUGGUGGAGAGUACUCUCUCCUCCUGGAUGUGAGAAUGUAAAUCAUGAUUGUGACUGAUGGCCAUGGGUCCAACCUUAAAGAAAAAGCCUGGCUUGGAAAUUAGGUUAAACCACAAGGUGGGUGGGAGUGGGAGGGAGACGAAAGAGGGAGAGAGAGGGAGAGAGGGAAAGAGAGUGAGAGACUGAGGAUGAGAGAGAGAGAAGAGCAAGAAGGAGGAGGAGGAGGAGGAGAGAGGACGUUUAAAAAGACAGACAGUGGGGGAGAGAGGUACAGACACACCUAACUAACCCCUCAUGGCCUGUGGUUAGAAUUUCUGCAUUCAGGCAGAAAGCCACAGGCAAGUCCCAUCCCUGCCCUUUUGUGUUUUGACUUGUCUAAACAAACAAAGUCUCUCUCUUUGCUUCAAGUAUUUGGAGCGGGGUUUUUAUUACCUACGAUAAUAAGCUUAUGUAAGAAAACAUGUUCAUUACUUUACUAGGCUAAGUUCUCAUUUCCAUAUCCGUGUUAAAUACAAUGAUGUAAUGAGUCAAAUUGGCAAAUAUUUAUGGAGACACUAAGAAGGGAAAGACACAGUGAGAGCUGUACUAGAAAUGAACACACAAAACAUCUCAUUGGGAAAUAAAGACUAAAAUGCAAACAUCAAAAAAAGUUAUAGUAUAAAAUAAAAACAGACAUAUCAUUAGGCAGUAUAGGAUCAACCAUUAAACAUAAUACGCAGAUAACAAAUAUUACAGGAAUAUAGAGGAGGAAACAACCAGGCUGGGAAUAGCAUCCCAUUUUAAGCAUCUGGAGCACUACCUGAGGCUCUGCUCACACUGACAUCCACUGUACCAGAGGUUUUCCACCCUUAACUGACCACAUCUCUGCUUCCUAUCGCUGUUGGAGGGCAAUCAAAGCAUUCCUGAAAUACCCUUCCAUUGAACCACAGAAAAUAUGAUAUAAACCUUACACCAUGGUGAGGCCGGCGUCCUGGGUGUGCAU